GGGGAAUUUUCCGCAAUGGGCGCAAGUCUGACGGAGCAACGCCGCGUGCAGGAGGACGCUUUUCGGAGUGUAAACUGCUUUUCUGUGGGACGAGCGAGGACGGUACCACAGGAAGAAGCCCCGGCUAACUACGUGCCAGCAGCCGCGGUAAUACGUAGGGGGCGAGCGUUGUCCGGAGUUACUGGGCGUAAAGGGCAUGCAGGCGGUCGGACGCGUUUCCAGUGACAGUGGGUGGCUUACCUACCCGAGGAUUGGAAAGACGGUUUGACUUGAGGACUCGAGAGGGACACGGAAUUCCGGGUGGAGUGGUGAAAUGCGUAGAGAUCCGGAGGAACAUCAAGGGCGAAGGCAGUGUCCUGGCGAGUAACUGACGCUGAGGUGCGAAAGCUAGGGGAGCGAAAGGGAUUAGAUACCCCUA
rnacentral:rRNA from 1 species